rnacentral:rRNA from 1 species
GACGAACGCUGGCGGUGUGCUUAACACAUGCAAGUCGAACGGCAACGCACUGAUUUCGUGCGGUUCCCGAGUGCCGAUCGGGGGCGUAACACGAGUGCAACCUGCUCUACACUUUGGGAUAACUUCACGUAACUGGGCUUACGCUCGUACAGGAGACCACGCACCAUGGAGGGCGGUGGAUCGUUGCGGCGGGUGGGGAUGGAUUCGCGGCUUACCAGCUUGCUGGUGGGGUAGUGGCUUACCAAGGCUGUGACGGGUAGCCGGCCUGAGAGGGUGACCGGCCACAUUGGGACUGAGAUACGGCCCAGACUCCUACGGGAGGCAGCAGUGGGGAAUAUUGCACAAUGGGCGGAAGCCUGAUGCAGCAACGCCGCGUGCGGGAUGACGGCCUUCGGGUUGUAAACCACUGUCGCCUGUGACGAAGCGUGAGUGACGGUAAUGGGUAAAGAAGCACCGGCUAACUACGUG